rnacentral:rRNA from 1 species
GAUGAACGCUGGCGGCGUGCCUAAUACAUGCAAGUCGAGCGAACAGACGAGGAGCUUGCUCCUCUGACGUUAGCGGCGGACGGGUGGGUAACACGUGGAUAACCUACCUAUAAGACUGGGAUAACUUCGGGAAACCGGAGCUAAUACCGGAUAAUAUAUUGAACCGCAUGGUUCAAUAGUGAAAGACGGUUUUGCUGUCACUUAUAGAUGGAUCCGCGCCGCAUUAGCUAGUUGGUAAGGUAACGGCUUACCAAGGCAACGAUGCGUAGCCGACCUGAGAGGGUGAUCGGCCACACUGGAACUGAGACACGGUCCAGACUCCUACGGGAGGCAGAAGUAGGGAAUCUUCCGCAAUGGGCGAAAGCCUGACGGAGCAACGCCGCGUGAGUGAUGAAGGUCUUCGGAUCGUAAAACUCUGUUAUUAGGGAAGAACAAAUGUGUAAGUAACUAUGCACGUCUUGACGGUACCUAAUCAGAAAGCCACGGCUAACUACG